CCUACGGGAGGCAGCAGUGAGGAAUAUUGGUCAAUGGACGCAAGUCUGAACCAGCCAUGCCGCGUGCAGGAAGACGGCUCUAUGAGUUGUAAACUGCUUUUGUACGAGGGUAAACGCAGAUACGCGUAUCUGUCUGAAAGUAUCGUACGAAUAAGCAUCGGCUAACUCCGUGCCAGCAGCCGCGGUAAUACGGAGGAUUCAAGCGUUAUCCGGAUUUAUUGGGUUUAAAGGGUGCGUAGGCGGUCGGAUAAGUUAGAUGUGAAAUCUCGAGGCUCAACUUCGGAAUUGCCUCUGAUACUGUACGGCUAGAGAGUAGUUGCGGUAGGCGGAAUGUAUGGUGUAGCGGUGAAAUGCUUAGAGAUCAUACAGAACACCGAUUGCGAAGGCAGCUUACCAAGCUACUUCUGACGUUGAGGCACGAAAGCGUGGGGAGCAAACAGGAUUAGAUACCCUAGUAGUC
rnacentral:rRNA from 1 species